GAUGAACGCUAGCUACAUGCUUAACACAUGCAAGUCGAGGGGCAUCAGGAAGAAAGCUUGCUUUCUUUGCUGGCGACCGGCGCACGGGUGAGUAACACGUAUCCAACCUACCCUUUACUCGGGGAUAGCCUUUCGAAAGAAAGAUUAAUACCCGAUAGCAUAAUGAUUCCGCAUGGUUUCAUUAUUAAAGGAUUCCGGUAAAGGAUGGGGAUGCGUUCCAUUAGGUUGUUGGUGAGGUAACGGCUCACCAAGCCUUCGAUGGAUAGGGGUUCUGAGAGGAAGGUCCCCCACAUUGGAACUGAGACACGGUCCAAACUCCUACGGGAGGCAGCAGUGAGGAAUAUUGGUCAAUGGGCGCUAGCCUGAACCAGCCAAGUAGCGUGAAGGAUGAAGGCUCUAUGGGUCGUAAACUUCUUUUAUAUAAGAAUAAAGUGCAGUAUGUAUACUGUUUUGUAUGUAUUAUAUGAAUAAGGAUCGGCUAACUCCGUGCCAGCAGCCGCGGUAAUACGGAGGAUCCGAGCGUUAUCCGGAUUUAUUGGGUUUAAAGGGAGCGUAGGUGGACUGGUAAGUCAGUUGUGAAAGUUUGCGGCUCAACCGUAAAAUUGCAGUUGAUACUGUCAGUCUUGAGUACAGUAGAGGUGGGCGGAAUUCGUGGUGUAGCGGUGAAAUGCUUAGAUAUUGGGAGGAACACCAGUGGCGAAGGCGGCUUACUGGACGGUAACUGACGUUGAGGCUCGAAAGCGUGGGGAGCAAACAGG
rnacentral:rRNA from 1 species